AGCAGUAGGGGCAAAACCAGGACUCCCUGGCACUUAUGUAUCAGAUCCUUUCUACCGCCCAUGCUGUGCCACUUAAAACAUCUUUCUUCUCUAUUCUAAACCUAGGAGAUGUGGGAGGACACGCUCACAGUCACAAGGCUAUUGUAAGUGGCAAAGAGGACUCCAGGACACAAGUUUUUCUCUUGUCACUUAGUUGAGGAUCUUUACACUGUGUCAUUUGGCCUCUAUCUGUCAGAAGAACAAAUGUGGAACACAUUCAUUGAACUUCUGUUCUCACAAGUCAAGUUUCAAAGAGCAUUUGCCAUAAUGAAUAAAAAUAUAUCUGUAUUUCUCCCGUGUGCUUCGAUUCAGGCAGUCCUGGGUUACAGUCCAGUAAGUCAAGUUCAGGGAACAUCAUGUUUAUCUGAGAGUGAAAAGAGAAGCCCGAACUAAAAAACACACAGACAAAAAAAGUAAGAAAUAAUUAUAAACGUGGAUAUAAUUAGUUGCAACUUUGAUUUUUUUUUUCUUACCUGGAGCAAUAAUUUGUAGCUUGUAACACGAAGCAUAUUUUUACAGUACAUUUUAACAUGCAUAUAAUGGUUUCAAGCUUCCGUUUUGAAUGAGACAUAUUUAUACUCCAAAUGCCACAUUUACUUAUGUAUUUCCAGUGUGUCUGAAUAUUUUGGGAAGGAAACAAAUAGGAUGAUUAUGUAAUUGCCACCAAUAUGUUUUGCGUUGCUUUGUUUCGCUUUUGAAAUAACAACCGUAUUACACCAUAAGUGGCCGAUUCAGUAAGGAAGGCAACAAAUUAUUUGUUGCAUGUGCUGUAUGUGCCAGGCACUGUCACAGGCUCUGCCCUCAGAAUUCUGCCUCCAUAAAUUUUGUGGACUAAGGAGGGGAGCUAGCCAAAGAAACAAGCAGUUGCAAUGAGUCUAUGAAGGCAGGUGAAAACACAGUUAACUUCAGGGCAUCUAGGCAGGAGCACCUGGUCCAAGCUCAGGAAACCAGAAAAGCCUUUGCAAAGGAGAUGACCACGAAGCUAAGUCCCAAAGAAGAAUGGAAUUUCAUCAGGCAAAUUCUGCGGGCUGGGACUUUCCAGACAGAAGGAUAGCUGCAUAUGCAAUGGCCCUGAUCCAAGAGAAAGAAUGAAAAAAAGGUUGGAGAUAGCUGACAGCUCUCUGUCUCUCCGUCUUUUAUUUUCCUGCCAAUUCUAAUUCCCCAGCUGAAGAACCUCAUCUACGACUGUGUUCUCUCGAUGUUGACAGAAACUCAAAAUUCAGGUAAUUCUGCUGCAAGUUUCAGUCCAUUCUUGAUAACUCAGAUUCCAAGGUUGCAAGCAGCUUCAGGUCUCCGGUAAAAGACUGGUCUCAUUAAAGGACUUGGAUCAGGCAGCAGAGUAUGGAUUCUAUUGCCAAUGCCUGGUGGAUAAGCCCAGAUCAGACCUUAAAGUGGGAGGGAGGGUAGCACUCUUCAGAAGGAUGGGGAAUAUAUUAGUGCAGAGCUUAAACUCACAAGUUGAAGAGGGAUUUGCCUGCCCCACCCACUGAGCCACCAGGACCCCAUUGUUAAUAUCUCCUUAUGCACCUGCAGAAGUACUUGUUUAAGGAAACAUGGUAAUACAUCUUUAUUAGAUAUUAAAAAUUUGAUCAUUGUGCCAAUGUUUUCCCAUCAACAGUGAAAGAGUUCCACUGCUUUGUUGUCCUUGACAACACUUGCUAUUUUGAAACUUAAAUUGUUGCUAAUUUGAUGGGUGUGAUGUAGUACUUCCUUGUGUCUUAACCAGUAUUUCCUUGAUUAGUGAACAGUAUUCUUUCAUUAUUUAUUGGCCUUUCAGAUUUACUCUUGUAAGAAAUCUUUUUUGUUUUUUC